AUUGAACGCUGGCGGCAGGCUUAACACAUGCAAGUCGAGCGGAGAUGAGGUGCUUGCACCUUAUCUUAGCGGCGGACGGGUGAGUAAUGCUUAGGAAUCUGCCUAUUAGUGGGGGACAACAUUCCGAAAGGAAUGCUAAUACCGCAUACGCCCUACGGGGGAAAGCAGGGGAUCUUCGGACCUUGCGCGAAUAGAUGAGCAUAAGUCGGAUUAGCUAGUUGGUGGGGUAAAGGCCUACCAAGGCGACGAUCUGUAGCGGGUCUGAGAGGAUGAUCCGCCACACUGGGACUGAGACACGGCCCCGACUCCUACGGGAGGCAGCAGUGGGGAAUAUUGGACAAUGGGCGGAAGCCUGAUCCAGCCAUGCCGCGUGUGUGAAGAAGGCCUUUUGGUUGUAAAGCACUUUAAGCGAGGAGGAGGCUACCUGGAUUAAUACUCUAGGAUAGUGGACGUUACUCGCAGAAUAAGCACCGGCUAACUCUGUGCCAGCCGCCGCGGUAAUAC
rnacentral:rRNA from 1 species